UUGCACGAGAUAGAAAGGCAGCUGCUCAAUUAAUUCAGCGGCUGCUUUUCUACUUCCCUCCAAAGUCUGAUACUGAUCUGGACAGCUACCUUCUCGGUGAUAAGACGAUACUUAAAGAUGCUGGACUUGAGGGAUUGAAGGAUGUGGAAGCUUUGUCCCCACCUCCUGAAAAUGGUUCAGCUCAGAAAUACCCUGGGGAUGUCAGUUAGUUCAUCUGUACAAGACCUGGGAAAAGCCCUAUUCUGCUUUCAAAUGACACACUGGCUCUUCUUGACCCAGAAACUGGACUUCCCAAGUAAGAAGUGCCAUACUUUCUCUCAGCAACUUUGGUAAAACUUAUCUUCAAGGAGAGUUGAAUGUCUCUGAGCUGCAAAAGUGUCAGAUAGGUUAUUUCUUCAGCUUGUUUUCGUUUUAUUUAUGUAUUUGUAGUUUUCUUUUUUUGCCCUUAUGUCCAAUUGAGGUUUGAAUCCUCACCAUGAUUGAAACAAUAAUGAAUAAAUUGGUUGCUUUAUUGACCCUCUAAACCUCUGCUACUUCCUUGUAAUUUCCAAUUGGUAAUGCAAAAGACUUGAAUUAUGUUGAAACA